rnacentral:rRNA from 1 species
UACGAAGGUCCCAAGCGUUAUCCGGAUUUAUUGGGCUUAAAGGGUGCGUAGGCGGGUUAUUAAGUCAGUGGUGAAAGCUCCUAGCUCAACUGGGAAAUUGCCAUUGAUACUGAUGAUCUUGAGUAUGAUUGAGGUUGGCGGAAUGUGUCAUGUAGCGGUGAAAUGCUUAGAUAUGACACAGAACACCGAUUGCGAAGGCAGCUAACUAAGUCAUAACUGACGCUGAUGCACGAAAGCGUGGGGAGCAAACAGG